UACGAAGGGGGCUAGCGUUGUUCGGAAUUACUGGGCGUAAAGGGCGCGUAGGCGGUCCUGAUCGUCGGAUGUGAAAGGCCUGGGCUCAACCUGGGAAUGGCAUCCGAUACGGCGGGACUGGAGUGUGGGAGAGGUUGGUGGAAUUCCCAGUGUAGAGGUGAAAAUUCGUAGAUAUUUGGGAAGAACACCGGUGGCGAAGGCGGCCAACUGGACCACAACUGACGCUGAGGCGCGAAAGCGUGGGGAGCAAACAGG
rnacentral:rRNA from 1 species